CCAGCCCAGAAAAGUAAUUACAGAACUGUUGUGAGGCUGUUAGCAGCUGCUUUUCAUUUUUUUCCCAUUAUGCCUGGGCUGUGGCAGAGAAAAAUAGGAAUGACGAAGACCCACAACAGAAAUGCUGCCCAAUCCACUGGCCUAUCACAUGUGGUUUAUGGAAACUUCCUUAAAGUCAAGAGGAGAAUGGUUGUUUUCGGAAUGGAGAAAAAGAUGAAAAAUUAUCAAGUUAUUAAGUGGCUGGUGGAUGAGAUUUGGCAUCACAUUUUCCUAUGCUUUGGCUGUUUUCAGCUUUUAAGGAGUACCAUGAAUGUUAAGCUAGAUGUACUGUUUAGAAAUGCCAUCUUUUCAAACUGUCAUACUGGAUGAGAUGGAUGGAUUUUGGAACAUAUCCCAGUAAGCUGAGAUACUCAUGUGGUCAAGUGUCGGUCUUCCUGAUCAAAUCUGACUUAUUCUCUCCAAAGUUGCCUCAUUUUGCCAGCUCUACAGCUGCAGCAUUGUGUCUUUGAAAAAAUUAUUGGCUUAACACCAUCUGCAAGAUCCUGCAUUGGUCCUAGCACUAGGAGCAUUGUUUCCAGUGGAAUUAAUGGCUAUGUUCACAUUGUACCUGCGUUAAUUGAGUUAUUUUCACACAUGCUAAUGUGUUGGUUACUCAGAGUCUAGUUCUCACUUACCGUCUGUUACUAAAUGUGCAUAUAAAUGGGAGAAAUCUUGGAAAUGACUGCCAAAAUCCAAAUGGCCUACUCUUUGGGGA
rnacentral:lncRNA from 1 species